rnacentral:lncRNA from 1 species
ACAACAACAACAACAACAACAACAACAACAACAACAACAAUAACAACAACAACAACAACAACAACAACAACAACAACAACAACAACAACAACAACAACAACAACAACAACAACAACAACAACAACAACAACAACAACAAGUCUCCUCUCGUUGCCAAUCACACACCCGAGCGUUCAAAACAUGUUUUUCUUGGCCUAAUGAGCAUUUUCCUGAGCCUUA